GUUUUUAUAGUUGAACUACAACGGUGGCUUUUCAUGUCACAGGUUACAGUUAAGUCUGUAUAGAAAUG
rnacentral:tRNA from 1 species